AUUGAACGCUGGCGGCAGGCUUAACACAUGCAAGUCGAGCGGGGUGAUGGUGCUUGCACUAUCACUUAGCGGCGGACGGGCGAGUAAUGCUUAGGAAUCUGCCUAUUAGUGGGGGACAACGUCUCGAAAGGGAUGCUAAUACCGCAUACGUCCUACGGGAGAAAGCAGGGGAUCACUUGUGACCUUGCGCUAAUAGAUGAGCCUAAGUCGGAUUAGCUAGUUGGUGGGGUAAAGGCCUACCAAGGCGACGAUCUGUAGCGGGUCUGAGAGGAUGAUCCGCCACACUGGGACUGAGACACGGCCCGUACUCCUACGGGAGGCAGCAGUGGGGAAUAUUGGACAAUGGGGGGAACCCUGAUCCAGCCAUGCCGCGUGUGUGAAGAAGGCCUUAUGGUUGUAAAGCACUUUAAGCGAGGAGGAGGCUCUUUUGGUUAAUACCCAAGAUGAGUGGACGUUACUCGCAGAAUAAGCACCGGCUAACUCUGUGCCAGCCGCCGCGGUAA
rnacentral:rRNA from 1 species